UCAGACUCUCCCCUAGUCUUCAAUCCUUUAAGAAGUGCCUUUAGGAAAGCUUAUGGCCUCCCAGAGUAACCUCUACCUCACAUACCUGUCUCUUGCUCUCUCCUAUAGGGCAGUGCUUUACUCUCUCCUCCAGCUCUGCUUCACUCCCACCCUAUUUGAUUGAUAUUUCCUGUCCUAACGUGUCUUAUACCCCACCUCCUAUAGACUGUAAGC